rfam:Oryza glaberrima chromosome 12 Oglab12_unplaced162_37, whole genome shotgun sequence.
UCUCAUUUCUGUGUCUAACAUUUGACCGUCCGUCUUAUUUGAAAAAAUUAUGAAAAAAAAUAAAAAGAUAAGUCGCGCAUAAAGUAUUAAUCAUGUUUUAUCAUCUAAUAACAAUGAAAAUACUAAUUAUAAAAAUAUUUCAUAUAAGAUGGACAAUCAAACGUUGGCACAUAAACCUAGAGUUUGUCUUUUU